CGACCGCGGCCCAUGUUCGGUGCGAUCGCUUUGUGCAUCUUCCGCUGGGGCGGGGGACCCUGGUAGCGCGUCCGUAUGGGGAGGACCUCGAGCAGCCACCAGUACGGUGCCAAGACGAGCUGGUCGUAUAUGGGCGAGAGGGCGUCGCGCACUUCAUGCUCCUCCUCGCUGACUUCGGGCGCAGGACCGGCGACGGUGUUGAAGUGAGGGGUGUCGGGUUGCAGCGCGCCGGG
rnacentral:misc_RNA from 1 species